AACGAACGCUGGCGGCAUGCCUAACACAUGCAAGUCGAACGAGACCUUCGGGUCUAGUGGCGCACGGGUGCGUAACGCGUGGGAACCUGCCCUUAGGUUCGGAAUAACUCCCCGAAAGGGGUGCUAAUACCGGAUAAUGUCUUCGGACCAAAGAUUUAUCGCCUUUGGAUGGGCCCGCGUUGGAUUAGCUAGUUGGUAGGGUAAAAGCCUACCAAGGCGACGAUCCAUAGCUGGUCUGAGAGGAUGAUCAGCCACACUGGGACUGAGACACGGCCCAGACUCCUACGGGAGGCAGCAGUGGGGAAUAUUGGACAAUGGGCGAAAGCCUGAUCCAGCAAUGCCGCGUGAGUGAUGAAGGCAUUAGGGUUGUAAAGCUCUUUUAACCGGGAUGAUAAUGACAGUACCGGGAGAAUAAGCUCCGGCUAACUCCGUG
rnacentral:rRNA from 1 species